rnacentral:rRNA from 1 species
UGGGCAACCUGCCCUCAGCUCUGGGAUAACUCCAAGAAAUUGGGGCUAAUACCGGAUAUGACCGCUGACCGCAUGGUCUGGUGGUGGAAAGAUUUAUCGGCUGGGGAUGGGCCCGCGGCCUAUCAGCUUGUUGGGUGGGGUAGUGGCCUACCAAGGCGACGACGGGUAGCCGGUCUGAGAGGGUGACCGGCCACACUGGGACUGAGACACGGCCCAGACCUCCGUACGGGA